CGGGAGCCACAUAGGAAGUGCCUUUGAGUCUCAGCACGGACGAGACCCAUAGUGCCAAGCAAAGCUGGUACUGUCAGGUACAAAAUGGAGAAGCAAAGCUCUCCUCUGCAAAGCUACCUGCCU